rnacentral:rRNA from 1 species
AUUGAACGCUGGCGGCAUGCUUUACACAUGCAAGUCGAACGGUAACAGGCCUUCGGGCGCUGACGAGUGGCGAACGGGUGAGUAAUGCAUCGGAACGUGCCCAGUCGUGGGGGAUAACUAUCCGAAAGGAUAGCUAAUACCGCAUACGAUCUGCGGAUGAAAGCGGGGGACCUUCGGGCCUCGCGCGAUUGGAGCGGCCGAUGUCAGAUUAGGUAGUUGGUGGGGUAAAGGCUCACCAAGCCAAGGAUCUGUAGCUGGUCUGAGAGGACGACCAGCCACACUGGGACUGAGACACGGCCCAGACUCCGACGGGAGGCAGCAGUGGGGAAUUUUGGACAAUGGGCGCAAGCCUGAUCCAGCAAUGCCGCGUGCAGGAAGAAGGCCUUCGGGUUGUAAACUGCUUUAGUACGGAACGAAACGGCUCUGGUUAAUACCCGGGGCUAAUGACGGUACCGUAAGAAUAAGCACCGGCUAACUACGUGCCAGCCGCCGCCGUAACAC